GGUUUUGUUUAAACAUUUACAGGAAAAACUUCUUCUCACUGAGUCAAAGCUAAAGGAGUCACAAUAUCAGUUGACACCUUGGCGCUCAGAUACAAGCCAUGCUAAUGUUGCUGUUGCCACACAAUCACAAUCUCACUUGAGUGGUGCAGCUUUGGCAACAU